UCCCAGGUGGUCCAGUGGCUAAGACUCCAUGCUCCCAACACAAGGGGCCCAGGUUCAAUUCCUGGUCAGGGAA
rnacentral:tRNA from 1 species